UAUGUGCCUAUUUUACUGAGCCACUGUCUAACCUUCGACCUGACCUGCUCCCUCCAGGGCUGUGGGCUCGCUGCCUGCCCACCCGACUGCUGGAAAACACUGGAGCUCUUGGGGAAAAGGAGGGCGUCAGCCCGAAACAAACAUAUUUACAGGAAGGACAGAAGAACGGUUACUAGGAUUAACACGUAUACUGAAUUAUAAAGCACAGGCAGCUUUUGUCUAGGAAUAACGCCUUCCGGUUGC
rnacentral:lncRNA from 1 species